rnacentral:rRNA from 1 species
AGUUAACGUUGGCGGCGUGCCUAACACAUGCAAGUCGAACGCGUCCUAAGGGCAACUUUAGGAUGAGUGGCGAACGGGUGAGUAUCACGUGGGUAAUCUUCCUUCAAGUGGGGGAAUAAGCUCUCGAAAGGGAGUCUAAUACCGCAUGACAUUCCGGGACACAAGUCCCGUAAUCAAAGCCGCAAGGCGCUUGAAGAUGAGCCUGCGUCCUAUUAGCUAGUUGGUGGGGUAACGGCCUACCAAGGCUUAGAUGGGUAGCCGGCCUGAGAGGGUGACCGGCCACACUGGGACUGAGACACGGCCCAGACUCCUACGGGAGGCAGCAGUAGGGAAUUUUCCGCAAUGGGCGAAAGCCUGACGGAGCAACGCCGCGUGAAGGAAGAAGGUCUUCGGAUCGUAAACUUUUGUCUUCAGGGACGAUAAUGACGGUACCUGAGAAGGAAGCCACGGCUAACUACGUG